GAUGGAUAGUGUGUUGAGGAGCAUGUAUGCAAAAGAUAGUAAUCUUAUAUCGCCUGAAUGUCCGGUACAUGGCGACCCUUCCCGUGUGCCUGCUGGUUUAAAGGGUUCCAAAGAGUGCAUUUGCCCCGCAGUCUCUGCAGAUAGAAGCAAAAACACCCAGGCUGCUUCCACUCAGAAAAUCGAUGAGCGACCGAGUAAUAACAACAUGGCACAGCAAAAUAACACAGAGGAGCCAGCAGAUCCAACAUAUCAACCACCAUCAUCAGGAACUAGGGUUUCAGACAAACGACUGGGCGACCAAUACAAGCGCUUUCCUGAUUUCCACGACAUCCCCA